UACAGAGGUCCCAAGCGUUGUUCGGAUUCACUGGGCGUAAAGGGCGCGUAGGCGGUGUGUCAAGUCAGGCGUGAAAGCCCCGGGCUCAACCUGGGAACCGCGCUUGAGACUGGCACGCUAGAGUUCGGGAGAGGAUGGUGGAAUUCCCAGUGUAGAGGUGAAAUUCGUAGAUAUUGGGAAGAACACCGAUGGCGAAGGCAGCCAUCUGGACCGACACUGACGCUGAGGCGCGAAAGCGUGGGGAGCAAACAGG
rnacentral:rRNA from 1 species